rnacentral:rRNA from 1 species
CCAUCCCAGUUCGGAUUGCAGGCUGCAACCCGCCUGUAUGAAGUUGGAAUCGCUAGUAAUCGCGGAUCAGCAUGCCGCGGUGAAUACGUUCCCGGGCCUUGUACACACCGCCCGUCACACCAUGAGAGUCGGGAACACCCGAAGUCCGUGAGCCAACUUAUAGAGGCAGCGGUCUAAGGUAGAAUCAAUGAUUGGGGUGAAGUCGUAACAAGGUAGC